rnacentral:rRNA from 1 species
GAUGAACGCUGGCGGCGUGCCUAAUACAUGCAAGUCGAGCGAACGGACGAGAAGCUUGCUUCUCUGAUGUUAGCGGCGGACGGGUGAGUAACACGUGGAUAACCUACCUAUAAGACUGGGAUAACUUCGGGAAACCGGAGCUAAUACCGGAUGAUAUUUUGCACCGCAUGGUUCAAAAGUGAAAGACGGUCUUGCUGUCACUUAUAGAUGGAUCCGCGCUGCAUUAGCUAGUUGGUAAGGUAACGGCUUACCAAGGCAACGAUGCAUAGCCGACCUGAGAGGGUGAUCGGCCACACUGGAACUGAGACACGGUCCAGACUCCUACGGGAGGCAGCAGUAGGGAAUCUGCCGCAAUGGGCGAAAGCCUGACGGAGCAACGCCGCGUGAGUGAUGAAGGUCUUCGGAUCGUAAAACUCUGUUAUGAGGGAAGAACAUAUGUGUAAGUAACUGUGCACAUCUUGACGGUAACUAAUCAGAAAGCCACGGCUAACUACGUG